rnacentral:rRNA from 1 species
AGUGAACGCUGGCGGUAGGCCUAACACAUGCAAGUCGAACGGCAGCACAGUAAGAGCUUGCUCUUACGGGUGGCGAGUGGCGGACGGGUGAGGAAUACAUCGGGAUCUACUUUUUCGUGGGGGAUAACGUAGGGAAACUUACGCUAAUACCGCAUACGACCUACGGGUGAAAGUAGGGGAUCUUCGGACCUUGCGCGAUUGAAUGAGCCGAUGUCGGAUUAGCUAGUUGGCGGGGUAAAGACCCACCAAGGCGACGAUCCGUAGCUGGUCUGAGAGGAUGAUCAGCCACACUGGAACUGAGACACGGUCCAGACUCCUACGGGAGGCAGCAGUGGGGAAUAUUGGACAAUGGGCGCAAGCCUGAUCCAGCCAUACCGCGUGGGUGAAGAAGGCCUUCGGGUUGUAAAGCCCUUUUGUUGGGAAAGAAAAGCAGCAGGUUAAUACCCCGCUGUUCUGACGGUACCCAAAGAAUAAGCACCGGCUAACUUCGUG